UGACUCUCGGCAAUGGAUAUCUUGGCUCUUGCAUCGAUGAAGAGCGCAGCGAAAUGCGAUACGUGGUGUGAAUUGCAGAAUCCCGUGAAUCAUCGAGUCUUUGAACGCAAGUUGCGCCCGAGGCCAAUUGGUUGAGGGCACGUCCGCCUGGGCGUCAA
rnacentral:rRNA from 1 species